CUGACCUCUUCCUGAUUCAAGUUAACUUACAGUUCCGCAGCAUCCCAGGAUGCUUUGCAGGCCUAGGCUGUACUGUCUGCC